rnacentral:rRNA from 1 species
UUUGAUCCUGGCUCAGGAUGAACGCUGGCGGCGUGCCUAACACAUGCAAGUCGUAACGGGGCGUUUUUGAGUGACGUCCCUCCGGGGAUGAUUUUUAAAACUGCCUAGUGGCGGACGGGUGAGUAGCGCGUGGAGAACCCUGCCCCCUGCCGGGGGACAACAGCUGGAAACGGCUGCUAAUACCGCAUAAUGGCGCCGGGCCGCAUGGCCCGGGGCCCAAAGCUCCGGCGGCAGGGGAUGGCUCCGCGUUUGGAUUAGCCAGUUGGCGGGGUAACGGCCCACCAAAGCGACGAUCCAUAGCCGGCCUGAGAGGGUGGACGGCCACAUUGGGACUGAGACACGGCCCAGACUCCUACGGGAGGCAGCAGUGGGGAAUAUUGCACAAUGGGGGAACCCUGAUGCAGCAACGCCGCGUGAGCGAAGAAGUAUUUCGGUAUGUAAAGCUCUAUCAGCAGGGAAGAAGGCGACGGUACCUGCAGAAGAAGCACCGGCUAAAUACGUGCC